rnacentral:rRNA from 1 species
AUACGUAGGGGGCGAGCGUUGUCCGGAAUGAUUGGGCGUAAAGGGCGCGUAGGCGGCCCGGUAAGUCUGGAGUGAAAGUCCUGUUUUUAAGAUGGGAAUUGCUUUGGAUACUGUCGGGCUUGAGUGCAGGAGAGGUAAGUGGAAUUCCCAGUGUAGCGGUGAAAUGCGUAGAGAUUGGGAGGAACACCAGUGGCGAAGGCGACUUACUGGACUGUAACUGACGCUGAGGCGCGAAAGUGUGGGGAGCAAACAGGAUUAGAUACCCUGGUAGUCCACACUGUAAACGAUGAAUGCUAGGUGUAAGAGGUAUCGACCCCUUUUGUGCCGGAGUUAACACAAUAAGCAUUCCGCCUGGGGAGUACGGCCGCAAGGUUGAAACUCAAAGGAAUUGACGGGG